GGGGGUUUGGGGGAAAUAAAUUGACGCCUUGUACUUAAAAUCCGUUGGCUGGAUACAGCCGUGGGGGUUCAAGUCCCCCC
rnacentral:tRNA from 1 species